AUUGAACGCUGGCGGCAGGCCUAACACAUGCAAGUCGAGCGGAUGAAGGGUGCUUGCUCCUGGAUUCAGCGGCGGACGGGUGUGUAAUGCCUAGGAAUCUGCCUGGUAGUGGGGGAUAACGUCCGUAAACGGGCGCUAAUACCGCAUACGUCCUGAGGGAGAAAGUUGGGGAUCUUCGGACCUCACGCUAUCUUAUGAGCCUAGGUCGGAUUAGCUAGUUGGUUGGGUAAAGGCCUACCAAGGCGACGAUCCGUAACUGGUCUGAGAGGAUGAUCAGUCACACUGGAACUGAGACACGGACCAGACUACUACGGGAGGCAGCAGUGGGGAAUAUUGGACAAUGGGCGAAAGCAUGAUACAGGAAAGCCGCGUGUGUGAAGAAGGUCUUCGGAUUGUAAAGCACUUUAAGUUGGGAGGAAGGGAAGUAAGUUAAUACCUUGCUGUUUUGACGGUAACAACAGAAUAAGCACCGGCUAACUUCGUG
rnacentral:rRNA from 1 species